UACGGGGGGGGCAAGCGUUGUUCGGAAUUACUGGGCGUAAAGGGCGCGUAGGCGGUUCGCUAAGUUGAAUGUGAAAACUCUGGGCUUAACCCAGAGCCUGCAUUCAAUACUGGCGGGCUAGAGUUCUGGAGGGGAUAGCGGAAUUCCUGGUGUAGCGGUGAAAUGCGUAGAUAUCGGGAGGAACACCUGCGGUGUAGACGGCUUACUGGACCGUAACUGACGCUGAGGCACGAAAGCGUGGGGAGCAAACAGG
rnacentral:rRNA from 1 species